ensembl:lncRNA
AUUGAUGUUGUAACCUGCUGUUGAGCAGUACCAUCUAAACAACGCUGGCUUCUCUUUUGGCACAUCGGCCAGACUCUCUCAUCCUCAAAGCAACCUCAGUAUACCAGGCCUGGCACUGAAUAAGUACAACUCUCUGAAAGCAGUUGCUGAUACUGCGAGCAGGGGCUACUACAAAAGUUAUCCACUAAUGGAUUUCUCUCAGCAUCAUUCCCCUCCUGCACCUUUCCAACCAAUGCCGAUGCACCAGAAAGACAAGUCCUACCUUCACCAGGUCCUCCCUUCUCAUGACAUCCAUUCCCCCCUUUCAAUCUCAAUCCCAACCAACCAGCUGGAGAGGACCCGCAUCCCAAAAACCAUCACCCAUCCUCAGCUUUCCAGCGCAGCCUUCAAAGCUUGGGAUUCUGGACAAAGACAUGUCCACCGGCAGACUUCGCAUCCAGGGCAUUCCGCUCGCCAUCAUACCUACAGUAGCAAGAGACAGUACAGCAUAGAAACACUACCGGAGUUCCUCUCCCAGCCUAAAGGCUAUGCGGGACAACCACUGUAUCAGCCACAUCCAAAACGUACAGCCUACCAGACCAACAGCAAGACGGAGGUCACUGUCUGAGGAAAUGGGAAAGAAAAGAACAACACUGCUGACUGUUAUCAGACUGAAUGCACAAAUACUACAAUGUCAAGACUAUGUAGUCAUUUCUACUUUCAGUGCUAAUCCUCUCUUUAUAUAGUUUCUUAUGUAUCCCACUUUUCUGAGUUCAUCUCUGGCCUCUGUGUCACUGACAACGAGGUGAGUGUUCACAUCAGAACACAGGAAUGGCGCCCAAAGCCACAUUAGCUCAACGGGGAGAAUGCCAUCAUCAGGUCAGCCUAAAUCUAAGUCAUUAAGGCACAUUAUCCUGCCCAUCUUUAAGUGAACACGACCUCAGGAUUCCUUAUGUGAAAAAAGACACAAAGCAAACUCAUUCUCCUGCCCAAGAAGAGGCAAAGAGCAACACCCAGAUCCCUGGUCUCACACUAGGAUUUAAGUAUAAGCUGAGUGAGUUGAGGAUUUUGUGCUCAUGAAGAAAGGUUUUUCGAGCUUGAGCAAAUUUCACGGUCUUCCUCUCUGGCUUGGGUAGUCUUGCUGUGAGAACCUCACUCAUUAAAUUACUCAUUUGUUUUAGGGGAAUGAUGUUGAAAAAAAAAAAAAAAACAUAAGGCAUACCAAUCCGGUUCCUGUGGGUUACAAUAACCUUUGUACAAAAGAAUGAAGUUGAUCUGUCAGUGAACAUAACACUAACUUGACAACAAGUCUGAUAAAGAACCAUGACACAUUUGUACAGAGAAAGACAUUUCUCAAAGCUGAAAACUGUCUAGAUGCAUUUUUCUUCUUUUUCUCUGAAUACAGAUUUAAAAAAAAAAAUGUUUUAGCAUGUUUACCUUUUUUGGGACAGGACUUAAAGGGAUAGUUUACCCAAAAAUGAAAAUUCUGUAUUUAGAUACUCACCCUCAUGUCGUUCCAAACCCGAAGACCUUCAUCUUAGGAACACAAAUUAAUACAUUUUUGAUGAAAUCCGAGAGCUUUCUGACCCUGCAUAGACAUCAACACAACUGACACGUUCAAGGCUAGUAAGGACAUUGUUAAAUUAGUCCAUGUGACAACAGUGGCUCAACUGUAAUUUUAUAAAGGAACGAGAAUACUUUUUGUGGGAGAAGAAAACAAAAAUAAAAUUAUUCAACAAUUUCUUCUCUUCUUCCUGGAUGUGCUGUGGCUUGUUUGCAAGCAGAGGAAUGCACAUGCAUUGCGUUGUGGUACUCUUGUGAACAUGUGUCGAAGAAUUACCCAGAAGAGAAGAAAUUGUUGAAUAAAGUCGUUAUUUUUGUUUUCUUUGCAUGCA